GCACCUACCGAUUGAAUGGUUUAGUGAGAUUUUCGGACUGAGAAGUAUUAAUAUUGGCAACAGUAUAUAUUUCUUGGGAAGUUGAUCAAACUUGAUCAUUUAGAGGAAGUAAAAGUCGUAACAAGGUUUCCGUAGGUGAACCUGCAGAAGGAUCAACCAAGCUGUGGAAAGUUGUUUAAACCUCAUCAUUUAGAGGAAGGUGAAGUCGUAACAAGGUUUCCGUAGGUGAACCUGCAGAAGGAUCA
rnacentral:misc_RNA from 1 species